GCAAGUCGAACGGUAACAGGUGGAGCUUGCUCCAUGCUGACGAGUGGCGGACGGGUGAGUAAUACGUAGGAAUCUGCCCGGUAGAGGGGAAUAACCUGGGGAAACCCAGGCUAAUACCGCAUACGCCCUACGGGGGAAAGCGGGGGAACUUCGGACCUCGCGCUAUCGGAUGAGCCUACGCCCGAUUAGCUAGUUGGUAAGGUAAAAGCUUACCAAGGCGACGAUCGGUAGCUGGUCUUAGCGGAUGAUC
rnacentral:rRNA from 1 species